UACGGAGGGUGCAAACGUUGCUCGGAAUCAUUGGGCGUAAAGCGAACGUAGGCGGCAUUGUAAGUCGGGUGUGAAAGCCCUCGGCUCAACCGAGGAAGUGCAUUCGAAACUGCAACGCUUGAGUGUCGGAGAGGAUAGCGGAAUUCCCGGUGUAGAGGUGAAAUUCGUAGAUCUACGAAGGAGCGCCAAAAGCGAAGGCAGCUCUCUGGGUCCCUACCGACGCUGGGGUGCGAAAGCAUGGGGAGCGAACAGG
rnacentral:rRNA from 1 species